UCAAAAACCAGUUGUUGGCAUGACACGGGUUAUGUUCUUCUCAUAUAUGUUAUGAUGGUAUGAUACUAAACCCCUAACGGGAAGGAUUGUGUCUGAUGUUCAUAUGAUGAAAUCAUAAUCUUUUAGUCAAUUUAAUUGAAGUCUGGAGCUGGCAUGUCAGUUAACUAGUAGUCUGUUGUUAUUUAUGUAUUAUUGUCAUUUUGUUUAUUUUCUUUGGUUACAUCUUCUGACAUCAGACUCGGACUUCUCUU
rnacentral:lncRNA from 1 species